CCGUGUGUAGGCUAGGCAGGUCAAGUCGUCUGUUUUGGGACCAGAAGAUCGAAGGUUCGAAUCCUUCCACACGGACCA
rnacentral:tRNA from 1 species